rnacentral:rRNA from 1 species
UACGUAGGUGGCGAGCGUUAUCCGGAAUGAUUGGGCGUAAAGGGUGCGUAGGCGGCCUGCUAAGUCUGGAGUGAAAGGUACCGGCUCAACCGGUACAGGCUCUGGAAACUGGCGGGCUAGAGAGCAGGAGAGGGCGGUGGAACUCCAUGUGUAGCGGUGGAAUGCGUAGAUAUUAGGAGGAACACCAGAGGCGAAGGCGGCUAACUGGACUGUAACUGACGCUGAGGCACGAAAGUGUGGGGAGCAAACAGG